GAUCAUUACAAAAAAGAACUAUAGUUCGUGAAGGGGGUCAAAUCCUGGAUCUGCUAUAACUCCUUUUAUAACCCUGCUUAAUUGACCUCAUGUUGCUUCGGUAGAUCAAAGAUGUUUCAUCUUGACUGGCCCUUCUCAGGUCUGGUUAGUGUCCAUCGACAGCCCCCUUUAAAAACUUCUGUAUAAAUUUUGUCUGAAUUUAAAGGUUUUAUACCUUUUAACUGUUUAUUUUUUAAACAAAAAUACAACUUUCAACAAUGGAUCUCUUGGCUCUGGCAUCGAUGAAGAACGCAGCGAAAUGCGAUAAGUAAUGCGAAUUGCAGAAUUCCGUGAGUCAUCGAAUCUUUGAACGCAUAUUGCGCCCUUUGGUAUUCCAAAGGGCAUGCCUAUUUGAGCGUCAUUUCAACUUUUCAAACUUAAUUGUUUGGUAUUGGAGGUUGAAGGUUUUAACGAUCUUCCCUUUUAAAUGAAAUUGAUUAAGUUGAUAAACCUAGUUAAUACAUUGAGUAAUUCUUUUUACUUGUAUAAUGCUCUGUGAUUGUCUACUUUUAAUCUGAACCCCCCUAUUUUUUCAAAAGUUGACCUCAAAUUAGGUAGGAAUACCCACUGAACUUAAGCAUAUCAAUAAGUGGAGGAAAAGAAGCCAACAGGGAUUACCUUAGUAACGGCGAGUGAAGCGGUAAAAGCUCAAAUUUGAAAUCUAACCUUCGGGUUCGAGUUGUAAUUUGUAGAGGAUGUUUUAGGACACUGAUUUGAUUUAAAUCCUUUGGAACAAGAUAUCAAAGAGGGUGAGAAUCCCGUCUUGAAUUGAAUAAAGACCUAUGUAAAACUCCUUCAAUGAGUCGAGUUGUUUGGGAAUGCAGCUCUAAAUGGGUGGUAAAUUCCAUCUAAAGCUAAAUAUUGGCCAGAGACCGAUAGCGCACAAGUAGAGUGAUCGAAAGAUGAAAAGAACUUUGAAAAGAGAGUUAAAUAGUAUGUGAAAUUGUUGAAAGGGAAGCAUUUAGAACCAGACGUGGAUUUUGUGGUUCCCCGGACCUUUUGGUACGGUUAUUCCAUGAUUUUCAGGCCAACAUCAGUUUUGAUGGGUUGUUAAAGAUUUGAAGAAUGUAUCUACCCCCGGGUCGACUUAUAGCUUUGAAUAUCAUAAACCCUAUCGGGA
rnacentral:rRNA from 1 species